rnacentral:rRNA from 1 species
UACGUAGGGUGCAAGCGUUGUCCGGAAUUAUUGGGCGUAAAGAGCUCGUAGGCGGUCUGUCGCGUCGGCUGUGAAAUCCCGGAGCUCAACUCCGGGCCUGCAGUCGAUACGGGCAGACUGGAGUUCGGCAGGGGAGACUGGAAUUCCUGGUGUAGCGGUGAAAUGCGCAGAUAUCAGGAGGAACACCGGUGGCGAAGGCGGGUCUCUGGGCCGAUACUGACGCUGAGGAGCGAAAGUGUGGGGAGCGAACAGG